GCAGCUUGAGCGCGGGCCUCCAGCCCCUUUGCUUUCGCUGUCAACUUUUUGCGUGUAGGGGACAGGGAUCUCGGGGAGCUGGUCCCUUACACUUAUUCUUUGUUGUGCUAUGAAGUUGAAAGGUCUGAAUCUAAAAGUGAUUCAUUGUAUCUUUACCGGUCAAGUCAGUCAGACCUUGGCUUUGACCUUGCUUUGUGUUUCAUUUGAGAGCUUGAUACUCUGAAGUCAUUUUAUGUUUUCUCACUAACAAAUAUUUAUAUCACACUUCCUAUGGGCCAGGCACUGUUCCAAGAACUUUACAAGAUGUUAAGUCAUUUAGUAUUUGCAACAGCCCUAUGAAGAGUUUUGUUUGUAUUGCUGCAUGUUAUGAGGCAAACGUGGCUCUAGUCCAGGCCUGACUAGAGCAUACCUAAACAUCAAAAAGAUGAGCUCUACAUUCUCAAGGAAGACUUAAGACCAUGGAAAUAUGAACAAGCAUCAAGUUACCGGAUCUAACACUCUGAUUAUAUGUGGAAAAGAACAAAAUAGGUCCUCUUGGAGGUCAGGGAGCAGAAAAGGCAAUGACCCAGAGCCAAUGAACAUGAACAAGAGCAGGCCCCACCAGUCCUCAAACAGAUAUCUACAAUAAAGCUGACCUUGGGCUAGAACACUAGAAGCCAGCAUCAGCAACGGGACAAAGAGAUAUCACGUGCCUCCUGUUACAACGCCCUGAGGACCCGACAUCGCUUCGGUGGGAUUCUUGAGAAAAGCGCAUAAUAAUGAUAAAACAUCAGGGAAAAAACAAACAAAAAAAGAAGACAUUCUACAAAUUAAUU
rnacentral:lncRNA from 1 species